rnacentral:rRNA from 1 species
GAUGAACGCUGGCGGCGUGCUUAACACAUGCAAGUCGAACGGAAAGGCCCAAGCUUGCUUGGGUACUCGAGUGGCGAACGGGUGAGUAACACGUGGGUGAUCUGCCCUGCACUUCGGGAUAAGCCUGGGAAACUGGGUCUAAUACCGGAUAGGACGAUGGUUUGGAUGCCAUUGUGGAAAGUUUUUUCGGUGUGGGAUGAGCUCGCGGCCUAUCAGCUUGUUGGUGGGGUAAUGGCCUACCAAGGCGUCGACGGGUAGCCGGCCUGCGAGGGUGUACGGCCACAUUGGGACUGAGAUACGGCCCAGACUCCUACGGGAGGCAGCAGUGGGGAAUAUUGCACAAUGGGCGCAAGCCUGAUGCAGCGACGCCGCGUGGGGGAUGACGGCCUUCGGGUUGUAAACUCCUUUCGCUAGGGACGAAGCGUUUUGUGACGGUACCUGGAGAAGAAGCACCGGCUAACUACGUG